UACGUAGGGCGCGAGCGUUGUCCGGAAUUAUUGGGCGUAAAGAGCUCGUAGGCGGCCUGUUGCGUCCGCUGUGAAAUCCCGGGGCUCAACCCCGGGCUUGCAGUGGAUACGGGCUGGCUAGAGGCAGGCAGGGGAGAACGGAAUUCCCGGUGUAGCGGUGAAAUGCGCAGAUAUCAGGAGGAACACCGGUGGCGAAGGCGGGACUCUGGGCCGAUACUGACGCUGAGGAGCGAAAGCGUGGGGAGCGAACAGG
rnacentral:rRNA from 1 species